ACUUGAUCUUGGCAGAUAUUUUACUCAAAACACACUCUGAUAUUGAAUCUAAAAAUUCAUUCUGAGUGCACCAUGUCAGAUAUCCAGUGGUUUUUCACUAUCAAUAGUCUUACCUAGGCGUAAGCGAGAUGCCAUUUCUUUCCACGUCAGAUAAGCAUUUAUGUGAGAACUACUGGUUUCAUGGUGCUUCAGUGUUUUUGAAAGACAUCGCCAGUUAUUAUACCCCUCCACAAGGCAUGUGUCAAGAACUUUAGCUUCACCAAAAAGCUUACAUGCAAAACAAUAGACUCUGUUAGUAUUUUUA